rnacentral:rRNA from 1 species
GGAGUUAGGAAAUGCGGUGCGGUUAAUACCCGCAUCGUUUGACAAAGGCCCCAGAGGAAGCACUGGCUAACUACGUGCCAGCAGCCGCGGUAAUACGUAGAGUGCAAACGUUGUUCGGAAUCACUGGGCAUAAAGAGCUCGUAGGCGGCCUGGCAAGUCGGUUGUGAAAGCCCCUGGCUCAACCAGGGAACUGCAGCCGAAACUGCUGGGCUUGAGUGUGGGAGGGGAGAGUG